GUACUGCUGAGGAGUUCCACAAUAGGACGAAACGGCCGUUCAGUGC
rnacentral:hammerhead_ribozyme from 1 species